CCUACGGGAGGCAGCAGUGGGGGAUAUUGCACAAUGGGGGAAACCCUGAUGCAGCGACGCCGCGUGUGGGAAGACGGUCUUCUGGAUUGUAAACCACUGUCCCCAGGGACGAAAAUGACGGUACCUGGGGAGGAAGCUCCGGCUAACUACGUGCCAGCAGCCGCGGUAAUACGUAGGGAGCAAGCGUUGUCCGGAAUUACUGGGUGUAAAGGGAGCGUAGGCGGGGAUGCAAAGUGGGUGUCAAAACUACCGGCUCAACCGAUAGUCGCACUCAAAACUGCAACUCUUGAGUGAAGUAGAGGCAGGCGGAAUUCCUAGUGUAGCGGUGAAAUGCGUAGAUAUUAGGAGGAACACCAGUGGCGAAGGCGGCCUGCUGGGCUUUUACUGACGCUGAGGCUCGAAAGUGUGGGGAGCAAACAGGAUUAGAUACCCUGGUAGUC
rnacentral:rRNA from 1 species